UGAAGCCUAUGGCAUAACGAAUACGCCCAUGUGCGGAUUUACAUAAUCUCGCGUUUAUAACAGUGUUCCUUUGUGCGCGCAACCAUUUGCAUCAUGGAAAUUUACGCACACGUGCUGCGCGUGACACAGAGGUUGCCAUGGCGAUCAGAGGCUCUGCUAUGCGAUAUGCUGCAGCUAGGCUACACCUGCUCGCUGUGUUUGCAUUCGCCUGCUGGAAUGGGUUGGGUUUACGUCUGGGACAGAAGUUACUUCUCCUACUGCUGCAUUGGAAUAAUUUCUGCGAAGCUGGGAUGAAGAAAACGUGUAUUUUUCAGAAGAGAGUUCUGUAUCCAGCGUCUCUGAAGAAGAGGAUAUGUUUUUGGCAGGUCUCGAUCCAGUUUUAGAUCGUGACGAUGAUGAUGAGAGUACCAGACAGAGGCCUCUCUGGACAACAGACAAACAAAGUGUCCAUGUGUUGCUGCAACAUCUACAGCUGUCUCUGGGAGUUCAAGAGGAAAGAGACAGCCCAGCACUUUGUGUGAUGGCACUUCAGCACCAAUAUUCUGCAACAGGAUUUGACAAAGGCUAAAAACCAGAAGCCAAUGUCUCAAAAGGCAUUCUGGGAGACUGAUUUUGGAGCUGGCUGGACAUCCCAACAAAAGCAAGGUGCCUGACCCUCCUCCUCGUCGAUCUUGUGAGUGUCACAGUCCUGUGCACAUCAACUUUUUCUGCUCACUUUUUGAGAAAUGUUUAUUACUGUCUUGAUUGCUAAUAACAAAGAGAAACUUUUGUUUGUAGAUGUAUACAAAUAUAUAAAUAAAAACUUUUUAUUUGCUAAA